CUUUCAGUCUCCUCAUCCCCAUCCUGAAGAGGGUAUGGAGGGGAAGUUUGCAUCAGAGAAUCCCAGGAAGAGAACUCGAUGCUGGACAACUGGCAGUACCCUCUGGAGGAGUGUCCCGUCAUAUGAACAAGAGGGGCCGAGCCUAAACCUGAGGAGAGAAGACACAAGCUUGAGGAGGCCUGCGGCCCACGGGAGGACGACCUUCACUCUACCAAAGUGGUCAGCUGAGGCUGUCCUGUGACUCUGCUCGACCUCAGCUUACUGUCUUUGCAUACGCAUGGACUGGCAGAGGUUAAGGAUCUUUCUGGGAAAAGUUAAAACUUGAAAAGUGG